CCUACGGGAGGCAGCAGUGGGGAAUAUUGGACAAUGGGCGCAAGCCUGAUCCAGCCAUGCCGCGUGAGUGAAGAAGGCCUUCGGGUUGUAAAGCUCUUUUGUGAAAAGUCCGGUACCGGAAGAAUAAGCACCGGCUAACUUCGUGCCAGCAGCCGCGGUAAUACGAAGGGUGCAAGCGUUACUCGGAAUUACUGGGCGUAAAGCGUGCGUAGGUGGUUCGUUAAGUCUGAUGUGAAAGCCCUGGGCUCAACCUGGGAAUGGCAUUGGAAACUGGCGACCUAGAGUGCGGUAGAGGGUAGUGGAAUUCCCGGUGUAGCAGUGAAAUGCGUAGAGAUCGGGAGGAACAUCCGUGGCGAAGGCGACUACCUGGACCAGACUGACACUGAGGCACGAAAGCGUGGGGAGCAAACAGGAUUAGAUACCCUUGUAGUC
rnacentral:rRNA from 1 species